UACGUGGGGUGCAAACGUUGCUCGGAAUUAUUGGGCGUAAAGGGCGCGUAGGCGGCUUGGCAAGUGGAUGGUGAAAUCCCUCGGCUUAACCGAGGAACUGCCGUCCAAACUGCUUCGCUUGAGACCGGGAGAGGUGAGUGGAAUUCCCAGUGUAGCGGUGAAAUGCGUAGAUAUUGGGAGGAACACCAGUGGCGAAGGCGGCUCACUGGACCGGUACUGACGCUGAUGCGCGAAAGCGUGGGGAGCAAACGGG
rnacentral:rRNA from 1 species